AUUGAACGCUGGCGGCAUGCUUUACACAUGCAAGUCGAACGCGAAAGCGGGGGGCAACCCUGCCGGUAGAGUGGCGAACGGGUGAGUAAUACAUCGGAACGUAUCCUCGCGUGGGGGACAACCAGUCGAAAGACGGGCUAAUACCGCAUACGCUGGAGACAGGAAAGCAGGGGACCCGCAAGGGCCUUGUGCGCAUGGAGCGGCCGAUGUCUGAUUAGCUAGUUGGUGGGGAAAGGCUCACCAAGGCGACGAUCAGUAGCUGGUCUGAGAGGAUGAUCAGCCACACUGGGACUGAGACACGGCCCAGACUCCUACGGGAGGCAGCAGUGGGGAAUUUUGGACAAUGGGGGCAACCCUGAUCCAGCCAUGCCGCGCGAGGGAAGAAGGCCU
rnacentral:rRNA from 1 species